ACGAACGCUGGCGGCGUGCUUAACCCCUGCAAGUCGAACGGAAAGGCCCUGCUUUUGUGGGGUGCUCGCGUGGCGAACGGGUGAGUAACACGUGAGUAACCUGCCCUUGACUUUGGGAUAACUUCAGGAAACUGGGGCUAAUACCGGAUAGGAGCUCCUGCUGCAUGGUGGGGGUUGGAAAGUUUCGGCGGUUGGGGAUGGACUCGCGGCUUAUCAGCUUGUUGGUGGGGUAGUGGCUUACCAAGGCUUUGACGGGUAGCCGGCCUGAGAGGGUGACCGGCCACAUUGGGACUGAGAUACGGCCCAGACUCCUACGGGAGGCAGCAGUGGGGAAUAUUGCACAAUGGGCGGAAGCCUGAUGCAGCAACGCCGCGUGCGGGAUGACGGCCUUCGGGUUGUAAACCGCUUUCGCCUGUGACGAAGCGUGAGUGACGGUAAUGGGUAAAGAAGCACCGGCUAACUACGUA
rnacentral:rRNA from 1 species